AAUACUAAAUUUGUCACUCCUCCUUUUAUUUAUGUAUCGAGCUGCAAAAGUAAUCAGAAUUUCAUGAAAGAAGAAAAGACAGACAAUUAUCAACAUCAACCCAGUCACAAAAAAGAAAAAGAAUCUCAUCUCAUAGAUGAUGUGUUCAGCGCUUGCCCUUUAGCCCCACCCCUACCAGCCUUGGGGCCCUUGGGUGGCAAGUUGACUCUUUUCUUCUGUGACUUGCUUGGCCAUUACCUCUGCCUUGUUUUCAUCCUUAGUUUUCUUAAUCUUCUCCUUAAUUUCACUGCACAAUGCAAAGAACAUACAGAAGAGCAGCAUCUCGAACCUCAGGUUUCUCAUUUCUAUCUCUUCUUAACAGUUUGUGCAGCAAUGUCCUUGUCCUAUUAAUGCUGAUGUUCAUUAUCUACAUCUUAAAAUGAUGCAUCAGCACCAGAAUGACGAUCAAUACCGAAAUAUCCAACAAAUAUUAAUCAGAAAUUGGAACAACCCACAUAUUAAAAAUUAUUAUGUUCUUGGAAAAUCAAUACACUCGACUCGACAGAGCCAACUAACCAACCAAAGUAAUCAAUAAAACAACACAUGCAACGUAGAUUGGAAUCUACCCACCAUCAUGAAUUCACAGAACGAACACAUCAUUAUGAUCAGCUACGUGCGCAUUCAUCAUAUAACCAUGAAAACCCACCUGCAAAUUUCACUCUGUUUUAAAUAAUAACAGGACAGAGUUUAUACAUAAAAAUAAAUAAAUUUUUAUUUAAACAGACAGGGCAGAGUACCAUCUACCAUGGCAUGGCGGCAG
rnacentral:lncRNA from 1 species